AUCCCAGCCCAUCGUCAUGCCUACAAGCCCUCUAGUAUUCGGGACCUCGCCAUCUUGACCCGAACAUCCUUUUUAACCCCAAAGUCUAUUCACACUGCAUCAACAGGCUUCAUCGUCACUCAUUUUACACAGGGGUCUGGCAGCUAGGAUUGGUGGUUUAACACAAUAAUCCCAGCAAUCAGGAGGUGACAGCAGGAGGGUUGUCGCCUCUUUUUGACUAUGGUUUGGAUAAGUGUCGGGGGCCUGACGUGGUGUGGCAAACAGGCAAGGAAUAGGAGGAGGCUUCAUAAUGUAGGCUCUUGGGGGGAAAUGAUACCCUCAGGCCCCCUACUCUCUCCAGCCUGGCUCUCUGUCGACUUCUUAACCCAUCAAGAAUCUGACUCAGUCUUCUGAGGAUUCAGCUGCUUGCCCAAAACCCUCCACCUGGGAAGAUAAGGUAGACCACACAGCAAAGCCACAAGGCUGUUGCAGAUUAUGACUCUCCUGGACAUGACCUCUCUUCACUACUGUGGAUGAAGUUCUUAAGUCUCAACCUAGAAGGUCUGCUGGGGUUGUCCAGUCUAGGCCCUUCCAGCCAGCGGCUGGGACACUGAUGUUCUAAGUCCCAGGAGUUCUCAGCCUGUGCAGUCCCAUCAGUAGGGAUCCUUUGCUCCCCAGAAUGCUUAGUGUGCCAACAGCUGCAUGGACAGAGGCAGCUGUAGGCCAAAGGGACACGGACGCUUGAUGAUGAAACCAUAAAUCCCAUUUCUUGACCUAGGUUCUCUGCAGCACCCUUGUAGUCAGACCUCUGCCUUCAAGAGGGCGGCAACUUCCUUUCGAAUCCUUCCUCUGGCUCCUGAAACAUGAAAGAAAGUCUCUCCGGAUUAGUCAGAGGGGUAGCCAUGUGGCAUACGUCUGCAUUUCCUUGGGAUAUUGUCCCAGAUAUGGGCUGUCUGACAGAGCUGAGCUCUCAGUUCUAGCCAUGCAGCCUGUUCCUGUUCCUGGGCUGUGCCUACUGCAGUCCUCCUGGUAGCCAUUCUUCCCUCCAUGGGCCCAACUCCAUUCUUACUUACAAGGAGUAAAUGUGAAGAUUGGGUCUGAGGUCUGACCCCAGCCUCUGGGCUGCCUUCCUGCAAUGGUGUAAACUGUUCUUUUUUCCGUCGACAUUCGGUAAACAUGGUGAUGUGCCAGGCCCUCAGUAGGUGCUGGACCCCAGGAUUGUUAGUCUGAUGGUCAAGCUGCCCACAAGGAGCUGGCACACGGGCAGAGUCCAGGAUUCUCAGGAAGACAAAGGUGGUUAGGUAAGUCCACAUGAAAACAGUUCAACAGGGUAACAGACCAGAGAGGAUGCGUGGUACUGCAGGACGUUGGAGGAGGCUGUCCCUGUGAGGAGAGCAGUGCUGGGCACAGCCUGGGUGGGAGGAAAGACAGGAUGAGCAGAGGGCCGUGAGAGCAGCCAUGAGACACGCUGCCAGCAUGAAUGACUGGACACGGCUUCUGGUGGUAAUACAUUGUCAAUGAGCACCAGUGGAAAUCUUCAUGCAAGUCUUACUUUCCAUGAAAUAGUAUUCCAAAAAUCCUUCCUUAGCUUCCUGGCCCCAGGACAGUGGUGGCAGAGUGAUCCUGGCCGACCUGCUGCAGUGCCCCCUCCCCUGUGCUCUGGUGAUGGGAAAGGCAGAUGGUGAGGGACAGACAGCAGCCAGAGAGCAUCCAGAAAGGGCACAAUGACUCAGCCCCAGAAAUUGGAGGUCACGCUGCAUUUGCAGGGCUCUGAGCAUCCUUGGCACAUGCCUCUGGGAAUUUCAGAGCCUGUGUGACUCCAGGAAGCAGGUGUCAUCCUCCGGGAACUGAGCUGUGCCUCAGCCAGAAUCUGAAGUCACUGCUGCUCCCACCUUGGAUACCCGGUCACCUUAAGAAAACCCAUUCAGAGUCUGGGAUUUUUCUUUUCCUCUGAAAUUAAGAACUGAAUGGGCAGGUGCACGCACCCAAUCCCUCUCAGCCUCUGAUUUGCUGUCACUAGUGUUCUUUGUAGACAUUUCCGAUUGGGACUCUGGCCUUCAGAACGGUGGCAAGCUUCUGAGAGGCUCCCAGGGUGAGGCUGACCUCAGCGGGAGCCACAGUCCAACAUUUUUGCAUCACAGGCCUCCCUUCUUCAUCUGCUGAGGACACCUGUGCCGACUGUGUGUCAACUUGACACAAGCCGGGGUCAUCAGAAGAAGGAGCCUCAGCUGAGGAAACGCCUCCAUAAGAUCCAGCUCUCCUGCCUCCAGGAUCCUGCCCUGCUUGAGUUCCUGUCCUGACCUCUUCCAAUGAAUAAUAGUGAUGCAGAAGUGUAAGUCAAAUAAACACUUUCCUCUCUAA